rnacentral:rRNA from 1 species
AGAGUUUGAUCCUGGCUCAGAUUGAACGCUGGCGGCAGGCUUAACACAUGCAAGUCGAGCGGAGAUGAGGUGCUUGCACCUUAUCUUAGCGGCGGACGGGUGAGUAAUGCUUAGGAAUCUGCCUAUUAGUGGGGGACAACAUUCCGAAAGGAAUGCUAAUACCGCAUACGUCCUACGGGAGAAAGCAGGGGAUCUUCGGACCUUGCGCUAAUAGAUGAGCCUAAGUCGGAUUAGCUAGUUGGUGGGGUAAAGGCCUACCAAGGCGACGAUCUGUAGCGGGUCUGAGAGGAUGAUCCGCCACACUGGGACUGAGACACGGCCCAGACUCCUACGGAGGCAGCAGUGGGGAAUAUUGGACAAUGGGGGGAACCCUGAUCCAGCCAUGCCGCGUGUGUGAAGAAGGCCUUAUGGUUGUAAAGCACUUUAAGCGAGGAGGAGGCUACUGAGACUAAUACUCUUGGAUAGUGGACGUACUCGCAGAAUAAGCACCGGCUAACUCUGUGCCAGCAGCCGCGGUAAUACAGAGGGUGCGAGCGUUAAUCGGAUUUACUGGGCGUAAAGCGUGCGUAGGCGGCUUUUUAAGUCGGAUGUGAAAUCCCCGAGCUUAACUUGGGAAUUGCAUUCGAUACUGGGAAGCUAGAGUAUGGGAGAGGAUGGUAGAAUUCCAGGUGUAGCGGUGAAAUGCGUAGAGAUCUGGAGGAAUACCGAUGGCGAAGGCAGCCAUCUGGCCUAAUACUGACGCUGAGGUACGAAAGCAUGGGGAGCAAACAGGAUUAGAUACCCUGGUAGUCCAUGCCGUAAACGAUGUCUACUAGCCGUUGGGGCCUUUGAGGCUUUAGUGGCGCAGCUAACGCGA